GCACACUCCAUCGUGGUCUGUCGUCGAGAGGCGUGUGUAUAUCGGUCACCUUGGCUUUACUCGUUCCUAGGGUCCACUGCUUACCGUGUAUUGCAUAACCAAUUUCAGGAUCACCGCCAUGUUUUGUCAUCUCACCAGACCAGAGACGAAACUUCGAGGAGCUCUUGCAUUGCGCUACAUCAUCGCUGGCUCAAGCAAAGGUUCUACUUUUUAUCAACUCGACAGUCAUAUCUCAAGCGAAUAUGUAGAUGAAACUAGAGCAUCAGUUCUCACCCAUCGGAUAACACAGAUGGGAUUCACAGCUGUCCACCUCCACGGUGCAAUCCUUCCCCGUC